rnacentral:misc_RNA from 1 species
GGACCACCAUCCAGGCACCGGUACACAGUCGCGCGGGUACCGCCGACCGUGGCGAAGACGCUGAAGCAGCGGGAGUCGAGGAAGUUGAAGGCUAUGGCGUAGAGGGGACGCUUGCCCUCGUGGAGGCGGUUGCUUAACUUGUACUCCCGCUUCUUCGACGGGGUCAGUGAACCCACCACCGGCUCGCAGCCCAGCCCGACCUUCGCC